rnacentral:lncRNA from 1 species
CACGCUCCCUACUCCCUGCCUCCUGAGGGCCACGUGAGCCACAUGCCAGAGAGAGAAGCGUGCUGUGUUAUUUGUUAAUGUGACGAGUAACAGGAGAGAAUGAGUGAUGCAACAAUCCUGACAUGAGUUAAUAGGUUGGGGAGUACAUGAAGACCAGCAGCAUUUCGGACCACUGAUCUCAACACUGCUUCAGCUACCUGCGUGGAGGGCGAGCAGCGGAUGAGAAAUGCCUUCAGUUCAGCAAGUCAAGAAUAACUUCAAUUCUUAGAAAACGAUUAAGAGUCGUGUUCAUCCCUGCGGAGGUUGAUUCACAAUCCACAAGCAGGUCACCCAAGCCUUCAUGAGAAAAGUUUAACGGCAAUAUGUUUUGAGACACCAAACUCUAGAGGAACCUCGGAAAAGAAAAGUCAUGAAAAACUACAGGAUUUUAGCUAAAUUACUUCUUACCUGGAAGUUACUGGGAUGCUCGCCUUGCGCCACUCCUGAAAUGAGAAACUGCGACCUUGUAAACUUGUAAACUUGUAAAAGAAUGAAAGCGUGGUGGUCUACCUUCAAAUAUACCUUACUAAACCAAAUACGUUAAGAUAUGUAUACUUAUUCCUU